UUUAGGCUCAGUAACACGUCGAUAAUCUGCCUUUCGGGUCUGGGAUAACCUUGGGAAACUGAGGCUAAACCCGGAUAUGGGAUUUGUCCUGGAACGGUAUAUCCUUGAAAAGUAAUGCCCGAAGAUGAGUCGGCGGCUGAUUAGGUAGUUGGUGGGGUAAUGGCCCACCAAGCCUUAGAUCAGUAGGGGCCUUGAGAGAGGGAGCCCCGAGAAGGGCACUGAGAUACUGGCCCUAGCCCUACGGGGUGCAGCAGGCGCGGAAACUCUACAAUGCACGAAAGUGUGAUAGGGGAACCCUAAGUGCCUAUGUUUUACAUAGGCUUUUGCCAAGAGUAAAUAUCUUGGCGAAUAAGUGGUGGGUAAGACUGGUGCCAGCAGCCGCGGUAACCCCAGCGCCACAAGUGGCAGCCACAAUUAUUGGGCCUAAAGCGUCCGUAGCCGGUUAGGUAAAUCCUUUGUGAAAUCAUCGUGCUCAACACGAUGGCGUGCAGGGGACACUGCCUGACUUGGGACCGGGAGGAGUCGGGGGUAUUCCAGGGGUAGCGGUAAAAUGUUAUAAUCCUUGGAGGACCACCUGUGGCGAAGGCGCCCGACUAGAAUGGAUUCGACGGUGAGGGACGAAAGCCAGGGGAGCGAACCGGAUUAGAUACCCGAGUAGUCCUGGCUGUAAACGCUGCGAGCUAGGUGUUGCGUAUUCUUAGAGAGUACGCGGUGUCGAAGCGAAGGUGUUAAGC
rnacentral:rRNA from 1 species